UCCGGUUUGUCACCGGCAGUCUCCCUAGAGUUCCCACCAUUACGUGCUGGCAACUAGGGACAAGGGUUGCGCUCGUUGCGGGACUUAACCCAACAUCUCACGACACGAGCUGACGACAGCCAUGCAGCACCUGUGUUACGGCUCUCUUUCGAGCACGCCUCGAUCUCUCAAGGCUUCCGUACAUGUCAAGGGUAGGUAAGGUUUUUCGCGUUGCAUCGAAUUAAUCCACAUCAUCCACCGCUUGUGCGGGUCCCCGUCAAUUCCUUUGAGUUUUAAUCUUGCGGCCGUACUCCCCAGGCGGUCAACUUCACGCGUUAGCUUCGUUACCAAGGAAUUACUUCCCCGACAACCAGUUGACAUCGUUUAGGGCGUGGACUAC
rnacentral:misc_RNA from 1 species